rnacentral:rRNA from 1 species
GGAGAAAGUGAUAGGUGGUUGAUGGCUGCCAUCAGCCCGUGUUGUGAGAUGUUGGGUUAAGUCCCGCAGGGAGUGCAAACCUUAAGCUUAGUUGCGAUCAUUAAGUUGGUCUCUCUAAGUCGGCUGCCGGUGACAAAGGGGUGGACGGUGGGGAUGACGUCAAAUCCUCAUGCCCGUUAUGAUUUGGGCUACACACGUGCUACAAUGGACAAUACAAAGGGCAGCGAAACCGCGAGGUCAAGCAAAUCCCAUAAAGUUGUUCUCAGUUCGGAUUGUAGUCUGCAACUCGACUACAUGAAGCUGGAAUCGCUAGUAAUCGUAGAUCAGCAUGCUACGGUGAAUACGUUCCCGGGUCUUGUACACACCGCCCGUCACACCACGAGAGUUUGUAACACCCGAAGCCGGUGGAGUAACCUUUUAGGAGCUAGCCGUCGAAGGUGGGACAAAUGAUUGGGGUGAAGUCGUAACAAGGUAGCCGUAUCGGAAGGUGCGGCUGGAUCACCUCCUUUCUAAGGA